UACGUAGGGUGCAAGCGUUAAUCGGAAUUACUGGGCGUAAAGCGUGCGCAGGCGGUUAUGUAAGACAGUUGUGAAAUCCCCGGGCUCAACCUGGGAACUGCAUCUGUGACUGCAUAGCUAGAGUACGGUAGAGGGGGAUGGAAUUCCGCGUGUAGCAGUGAAAUGCGUAGAUAUGCGGAGGAACACCGAUGGCGAAGGCAACUCCCCUGGACCUGUACUGACGCUCAUGCACGAA
rnacentral:rRNA from 1 species